rnacentral:rRNA from 1 species
CCUACGGGAGGCAGCAGUGAGGAAUAUUGGUCAAUGGACGAGAGUCUGAACCAGCCAAGUAGCGUGAAGGAUGACUGCCCUAUGGGUUGUAAACUUCUUUUAUAUGGGAAUAAAAUGUUCCACGUGUGGGAUGUUGUAUGUACCAUAUGAAUAAGGAUCGGCUAACUCCGUGCCAGCAGCCGCGGUAAUACGGAGGAUCCGAGCGUUAUCCGGAUUUAUUGGGUUUAAAGGGUGCGUAGGUGGAUUGUUAAGUCAGUUGUGAAAGUUUGCGGCUCAACCGUAAGAUUGCAGUUGAAACUGGCAGUCUUGAGUACAGUAGAGGUGGGCGGAAUUCGUGGUGUAGCGGUGAAAUGCUUAGAUAUCACGAAGAACUCCGAUUGCGAAGGCAGCUCACUGGACUGCAACUGACACUGAGGCUCGAAAGUGUGGGUAUCAAACAGGAUUAGAUACCCUUGUAGUC